AAAGUAGAGGUAAAAAAGGAAGUGUUUUUUGAUAACCGCCCUCAGCUUGCAUGUUAGGCUACCAGGAACUUGCUCUCCCUCACACGCGCACUGCCUCCCGUGCACGCCAGCCCUCCUCGCACUGCCCCAGACGGUGGUAAGAGCUGUCAGGGAGAGAAACUAAGUCCUGGUAUUCGUGUGGAAGCUGAGGUGAGGGGCGGCAGGCACCUCAUGUGGCAGGCUGAGGCGGGGUUUCUACACUUCCUGGGCAUCAGCAACCACAAUGAACUCUUCGCUAAGGUCCAGGCACCUCAGUUUUCAGGGAGACAAGCGUGGCAGCGUCAACGAACACCUGGACAGUCUGUUCAGCGCCAUCGAGACGCGCUCCCUGGACCAGCUGCGGGAGUGCCUGCGUCAGGAGCCUCAGGGCAUCAAUGGGCACGGCGGGCCCUUCUACGUGAC